rnacentral:rRNA from 1 species
GACGAACGCUGGCGGCGUGCUUAACACAUGCAAGUCGAACGGAAAGGCCUGCUUUCCCUUAUGGAUUGCGGGUACUCGAGUGGCGAACGGGUGAGUAACACGUGAGUGAUCUGCCCCCAACUUGGGUAUAAGCCUGGGAAACUGGGUCUAAUUCCCGAUAGGACUGCAGGGUGGUGCCUGUGGUGGAAAACGAUUUUCUAGUGGUUGGGGAUGAGCUCGCGGCCUAUCAGCUUGUUGGUGGGGUAAUGGCCUACCAAGGCGGCGACGGGUAGCCGGCCUGAGAGGGUGGACGGCCACAUUGGGACUGAGAUACGGCCCAGACUCCUACGGGAGGCAGCAGUGGGGAAUAUUGCACAAUGGGCGGAAGCCUGAUGCAGCGACGCCGCGUGGGGGAUGACGGCCUUCGGGUUGUAAACUCCUUUCGACCGCGAGGAAGCCACCUGGUUGGAAGGGUGGUGACGGUAGUGGUAGAAGAAGCACCGGCUAACUACGUG